UGUCCGUGCUUCGGAGUUAGGAGCUAGUAUGGAUUUUUUGUUCCUAAUUGGUCAUCUAAAUCUCUAUAAGGUUUUGUCUUCUUAGGCAAAUAAACAAGUGCUUUCUUAGCAUGCAUAUUUUUAGGUCAUAAGCUUUUACAAUUUUUGUCGUAACUAGAUUGCUGAAUAGUUGUAAACUAAAAUUCUGUUGGAGAGUAUAAUGAUCAUGAGCUAUUUAGACCUAUAGUUCACUGGAUCUUAUGUUACGCUUGAAAAAUUAUUAGAUGAAAUUUAUCUCUCCUUUUUUGGGGUAAACUUUAGAAUGCUUCUUAUCUUUUUCUGAAAUUUUUCUAUAAUGACGAAAAUGAUGUUUGGGAGUGAAAGCAGGUGUAUUUUUAAAUAUAGGAAGCACGGAUAUGGAUACGAGAUACGGAUAUGAUACAAUACAAUAUAGAUAUGGAAUAAGACAAAACCCCCUAAAAAAGAUAUGAGUACGGUUAGGAUGUGCUUGUAAAUUUUUUUUUUUUUUUUAGAAUUAUUAGUAGUGAGUUAGAACAUAAGCUCAAGAGAAAUCACACUAUAAUGAUACAAAAUACUAAUCUUUAAGCAUUAAGUAUUAAUUUAAGCCAAUAGCUAGUUUACUUUACAAUUUUUAAUUUUUCAAUAUCAAGUUUAAUAUGUUUAUAUUACAAAUUUAUAAUAAUAUAACAAUCCACAGCUUAUCCCUAUGCUUUUUCCUUUUGCAUUAGUCAAAAAUGUCGUAUGUUUUGCUUGCUUAUUUAUUUAUUAUUUAUAUUUAAUUUUACUAUUGUUGUAUUCUCUUGGUAAUUUGUACUUUCUAUGUAGUUAUAAGGGUGCAUGAUGCAAUAAGGACACGUCAAUUUGACAAAUUUUAUUACUUUAACUCACUAUGUUCUUAUUAUCAAAGAACUAUGCAAAAUAUUGUAAAAAUAUUCUUACAUUUAUCCUUGCAAUUAUAUUAUAUUAUAAUACUAAGAAAUGCUACAAUUCUUAUUUUGUAAAAGAAGUAAUAUGUGACUUGGAGUAUCCAAUACUUCAAAAAUUAAUUAAGAAGUAUUCGAUAAUUUUAAUAUUAUUCGAUACGUAUCUGUGAGUAUCCAAAGAGUAUUGGUAUCCAAUAUAGAUACGAUAUGGAUACGUCUCUCUUUUAAAAGUAUCCAUGCAUAGCUGUAUUAAGAAACGCGUUUGUCACCAUCAAGUUUAACACAAGAGUCCAUGGGAGAAUCCAAAGAGUAUCGGUAUCCGAUAUAGAUACGAUAUAGAUAUGUCUCUUUAUUAGGAAACAUGUCCUCGGUGUCACCAUCAAGUUUAACACCGGAGUCCAUGGGAGUAUCACUCGGGUGAGUACCUAAGAGGCUAGCCUUAGAGAGAAGAUCAAGCACAUACUUACGUUGCGAGAGAAACAAAUCCCGAGAAGACUAAGCAAUCUCAAUUCUAAGAAAAUAGCGAAGAUGAAUCAAGUCCUUAGUGUGAAAGUGCUAACCUAAAUAUUGUUUUAAGUUAGCAAUACCGGUGGUGUCAAUGCCAGAAAUGAUGAUGUCAUCUAUAUAGACAAUGAGAACAACAAUAUUUCCAGUAGAUGAGUGGUGAACAAAAAUAGAAUGAUCAAAUGGAGAAUGGCGGAAUCCAUAUGCAAGCACAACUGCAUUGAAGCGAUUAAACCAACCAUGAGGAGAAUGCUUGAGAUUAGGCCUGUAAAUGGAUCGGAUUUGGAUUGGAUCUGUCAAAAUUUGAAUCCGAUCUGAUUAAGACAAACCCGAAUCCGAUCCGAAUCUGUUUAGCCCAUAUUUGAUAAUAGAUCACCCGAAUCUGAAUUCGAUAAUUUCGGAUAUUUGAUCCGAUAAUCCGAUCUGAUCCGAUUAAUUUAUUUAUUUAUUGAGCUACAAUUUUAGAUAAUUUGAUUUUUUUUUUUUUUUUUUCAUUUUGUGUUUUCUUCAUUCAAAUUGAGAAUAAUUGGAUCAGAUUAUUGGAUUAUCUUAUCAGAUCGGAUUGGAUUUUUCAUAUUCGAUCUGUUUAAUAAACGGAUUAAACGCAUUCGAAUUAUUGGAUUGCCGGAUCGGAUUUUUUGUAAAUGAAUUCGGAUUUUCGGAUCGGAUUCGGGUUAGAUUAGGAUCAAAUCUGAUCCAUUGACAACCCUAUUUGAGACCAUACAAGGCCUUCGGCAACCGAUAAACCAAAUUCACAGUAUCGAGAAUAGCAUAGCCAGGCGGCUGAUCCAUAUAGACCUCCUCUUAGAGAUCGCUAUGAAGAAGCCAUUCUUUAUAUCAUGCUGAUAUAAAGGCCAAGACUAACUGACGACAACAGAGAGUAGAAUUUGACCAAAGUUAAGGUGAGCCAUAGGGGAGAAGGUUUCUAAAUAAUCAACACUAUAGGUUUAUGUGUAGCCUUUGGCCACCACGCGGGCUUUAAGCCUCUUAACAGAACCAUCAGGAAGAUACUUGACAGUAUAAAUCCAAUGACAAUUGACAAUAGGUUUUGUAGAAGGCAAAGGAGUAAGUUCCCAAGUCUGAUUCUGAUGAAGAGCACUCAUUUCCUCAUCCAUAGCAUGCUUCCAACCUAACAUGGACAUAACCUGCUCGUAAGAUGGAAUGGAAAGACAAGUUACAAGCAAAUGAGUGAAGGCUAGUGGAAAGACGAUCACACGAAACAAAACGGGCAAUGGGAUGUUGUGUGCAAGUGCAUUUACCUCAACGCCAAGCAAUGGGGGAGAUCAUCGGAUGUCACUAUGGUAGGAGGUGCAGGAGCCUCUGACAAAGAAGGUGAACUAUUCGGGCCAUAAGAAAUAAUGUCACGAGCCUGAGAUCACUGAUUAACAUGGAGAGAAGAUGGAGGCAAAUGAGAGGGAUCUACAUUGGUGUUGGGUGAGACAGAGGACGAGAGGACACAAGGCACGAGAAGAGGUGUGGGAAAGAAUGGCUCCCUUUCACGACAAGAUAUAAGAUUAGCGGACAACUAUUGCCCAGAUAGAGAAAAAUAAGGGGUGGACUCAAAAAAGGUAACAUCAACAUUGACAAAGAACUAACUCAUGGUGAUAACAUCGAUAACAAUUUUGAGUACGGGAAUUACCUAAAAACACACACUUGCAAGCGCGAGGAGAUAGCUUAUCUAGGUCCAGAUCAAGGACAUAGACAAAGGCCACACAACCGAAAAUACGAGAAGAAAGAGGAAACGGGGAACAAUCGAGGUAUAACUGAGAUGAAGAAAAUUGGUUCUGUAACACAACUGAAGGCAUGUAGUUAAAAUAAGACGGUGGAUAGUGAGCACAAAAUCACCCCAAAACUAUUUAGGAACGUGCAUGUUAAACAACAAUGUGCGAGCAACAUUUAACAAAUGGCGGUAUUUCUGCUCAAGAAUACUAUUUUGGGGUGAGGUACGAGCACAACUAGUUUGAUGAACAAUACUAUGACCAUCACAAAAAAUAUUCACAGUAGGCUGCACAUAUUCUGAACUAUUAUUAGACAAAAUAUUUAAAUAUGUUUCUCAAAUUGAGUAAAGAUUUCAUUAUAAAACUUAUAAAUGACUUGGGGUAAUUCAGACAUUUGCUGUAGUAAAAAUAACCAAGUCAUCCGAGAGUAAUCAUCCACAAAAAUAAAAAAAUAAAAAAAGUCAUCAACAGUGGGAGUUUGAGAGGGACCCAUAUGUCUAUGUGGAUUACAUCAAAAGACGCGGACACACGACUAACACUAUGAUUAGGAAAGGAACUACGGUGAUGCUUUCCAAACUGACAAGCAUCACACUCAAGUUGAGACAAGCAAAAAUGCCAUUGCAGAGGAGAUAUGGUAGCACUCAAAACAACAGAAGUAGGACGAGGAGGGCUAUUAGUGUUUGAAAAUAUAAGCCAUCUUUCUCAUUCCUUGAACUAAUCAUCCCUAUGAGGCAUGGACACGGACAUGCAGACAUGCAAAUUUUCAAAAAAUGGAGGACACGAUACGCUGGAGACACGCUUAAUAUAUAUAAUUUUAUUUACUUUAAUAUCAAAUAUCAUUUACAAAUUAAUUUUUUUACAAAUAAAAAUAAUUUAUUCUAUGUAUGUUCAGGUUGAGCAAAUAAGAAUACCCAAAAAAUAGAAAAAAAAGGAAAGGGGAAAAAAAGGUUUUUGUUAAAAUAUAUAUAUAUAUAUAUAAAGGGGACAUACACGUUAGAAGAGAGGGAGAUAAAAAAAAAAAAA